UACGUAGGGUGCGAGCGUUGUCCGGAAUUAUUGGGCGUAAAGAGCUCGUAGGCGGUCUGUCGCGUCGAUCGUGAAAACUUGGGGCUUAACCCUGAGCUUGCGGUCGAUACGGGCAUGACUGGAGUUCGGCAGGGGAGACUGGAAUUCCUGGUGUAGCGGUGAAAUGCGCAGAUAUCAGGAGGAACACCGGUGGCGAAGGCGGGGUCUCUGGGCAACAACUGACGCUGAGGAGCGAAAGCGUGGGGAGCGAACAGGA
rnacentral:rRNA from 1 species